ACGGCGAGUGAAGCGGCAUCAGCUCAAAUUUGAAAUCUGGCUCUUUCAGAGUCCGAGUUGUAAUUUGCAGAGGGCGCUUUGGUGUCGGCAGCGGUCCAAGUUCCUUGGAACAGGACGUCACAGAGGGUGAGAAUCCCGUACGUGGUCGCUGACCUACACCGUGUAAAGCCCCUUCGACGAGUCGAGUUGUUUGGGAAUGCAGCUCUAAAUGGGAGGUAAAUUUCUUCUAAAGCUAAAUACUGGCCAGAGACCGAUAGCGCACAAGUAGAGUGAUCGAAAGAUGAAAAGCACUUUGGAAAGAGAGUCAAACAGCACGUGAAAUUGUUGAAAGGGAAGCGCUUGCAGCCAGACUUGCUUGUAGUUGCUCAUCCGGGCUUUUGCCCGGUGCACUCUUCUGCGAGCAGGCCAGCAUCAGUUUGGACGGUUGGAUAAAGGCCUCUGUCACGUACCUUCUCUCGGGAAGGCCUUAUAGGGGAGGCGUCAUGCAACCAGUCUGGACUGAGGUCCGCGCAUCUGCUAGGAUGCUGGCGUAAUGGCUGUAAGCGGCCC
rnacentral:rRNA from 1 species